rnacentral:rRNA from 1 species
GAUGAACGCUGGCGGCGUGCCUAAUACAUGCAAGUCGAACGCGCCGAGAAGGGAACUUGUUCCUUUCAACGCGAGUGGCGAACGGUAGCGUUACAUGCGGGAAACCUCCCCUUCAGUGGGGGAUAACCAUCGGAAACGAUGACUAAUACAGCUUUGUCGCUCCAGUCGCAUGACUGGACUGGGUAAGACGGCUUCGACUGUACCUGUAGGCUGGUCCAGCGGUUCAAUAGCUAGACGGAGGGGUAACGGCCUCCCGUGGCUGUGAUGGCUAGCCGACCUGAGAGGGUGAUCGGCUAGAUUGUGACUGAGACAGAGCCCAAACUCCUGCAGGAAGCAGCAGUAGGGAAUCUUCCGCAAUGCACGCAUGGCUGACGUAGCAACGCCGCGUGAGUGAAGAAGGUCUUCUGAUCGUAAAGCACUGUAAUCAUAGAAGAAGAGCCGAUAGAGUAACUGUGAUAAGUUUGACGGUAACUGAACAGAAAGCCACGGCUAACUACGUG